GAUGAACGCUAGCGGCAGGCUUAAUACAUGCAAGUCGAGGGGCAGCAUGGCUGUAGCAAUACGGUUGAUGGCGACCGGCAAACGGGUGCGGAACACGUACAGAACCUUCCUUCGAGCAGGGAAUAGCCCAGAGAAAUUUGGAUUAAUACCCCAUAGUAUUACGGAGUGGCAUCACUUUGUAAUUAAAGAUUUAUCACUUGAAGAUGGCUGUGCGGCUGAUUAGGUAGUUGGCGGGGUAACGGCCCACCAAGCCUGCGAUCAGUAACUGGUGUGAGAGCACGACCAGUCACACGGGCACUGAGACACGGGCCCGACUCCUACGGGAGGCAGCAGUAAGGAAUAUUGGUCAAUGGACGAAAGUCUGAACCAGCCAUGCCGCGUGGAGGAUGAAGGUCCUCUGGAUUGUAAACUUCUUCUAUAUGGGACGAAAAAAGGCUUUUCUAGGUCGUCUGACGGUACCAUAUGAAUAAGCACCGGCUAACUCCGUGCCAGCCGCCGCAGUAAUAC
rnacentral:rRNA from 1 species